GUGGCAUAAAUGGAUUACAUUUGGCUCCUAAUCAAAAGAUUGAUGGUUUGAAUCCAUCC
rnacentral:tRNA from 1 species